GGUGAACGCUGGCGGUAUGCUUAACACAUGCAAGUCGAACGGACUCUUCGGAGUUAGUGGCGGACGGGUGAGUAACGCGUGAGAAUCUGGCUUUGGGUUCGGGACAACCACUGGAAACGGUGGCUAAUACCGGAUGUGCCGAGAGGUAAAAGAGAAAUUGCCUGAAGAUGAGCUCGCGUCUGAUUAGCUAGUUGGUGAGGUAAAGGCUCACCAAGGCAGCGAUCAGUAGCUGGUCUGAGAGGAUGACCAGCCACACUGGGACUGAGACACGGCCCAGACUCCUACGGGAGGCAGCAGUGGGGAAUUUUCCGCAAUGGGCGAAAGCCUGACGGAGCAAUACCGCGUGAGGGAAGAAGGCUCUUGGGUUGUAAACCUCUUUUCUUAGGGAAGAACAAAAUGACGGUACCUAAGGAAUCAGCAUCGGCUAACUCCGUG
rnacentral:rRNA from 1 species